rnacentral:rRNA from 1 species
CCGGAAGGUGUGCUUGGCAAU